UACAGAGGAUGCAAGCGUUAUCCGGAAUGAUUGGGCGUAAAGCGUCUGUAGGUGGCUUUUUAAGUCCGCCGUCAAAUCCCAGGGCUCAACUCUGGACAGGCGGUGGAAACUACCAAGCUGGAGUACGGUAGGGGCAGAGGGAAUUUCCGGUGGAGCGGUGAAAUGCGUAGAGAUCCGGAGGAACACCAAAGGCGAAGGCAGUGUCCUGGGGAGUACCUGACGCUCAGGUGCGAAAGCCAGGGGAGCGAACGGG
rnacentral:rRNA from 1 species